rnacentral:rRNA from 1 species
CAGCUUGUUGGUGAGGUAAUGGCUCACCAAGGCGACGACGGGUAGCCGGCCUGAGAGGGUGACCGGCCACACUGGGACUGAGACACGGCCCAGACUCCUACGGGAGGCAGCAGUGGGGAAUAUUGCACAAUGGGCGAAAGCCUGAUGCAGCGACGCCGCGUGAGGGAUGACGGCCUUCGGGUUGUAAACCUCUUUCAGUAGGGAAGAAGCGAAAGUGACGGUACCUGCAGAAGAAGCGCCGGCUAACUACGUGCCAGCAGCCGCGGUAAUACGUAGGGCGCAAGCGUUAUCCGGAUUUAUUGGGCGUAAAGAGCUCGUAGGCGGUUUGUCGCGUCUGCCGUGAAAGUCCGAGGCUCAACCUCGGAUCUGCGGUGGGUACGGGCAGACUAGAGUGAUGUAGGGGAGACUGGAAUUCCUGGUGUAGCGGUGAAAUGCGCAGAUAUCAGGAGGAACACCGGUGGCGAAGGCGGAUCUCUGGACCUUUCCUGACGCUGAGGAGCGAAAGCAUGGGGAGCAAACAGGCUUAGAUACCCUGGUAGUCCAUGCCGUAAACGGUGGGCACUAGGUGUGGGACUCAUUCCACGA